rnacentral:tRNA from 1 species
GCCGGUGGUUGAGCAAUCUGGUCGCUCACCUGUCUCGAAAACAGGCUCCCAUUGUGGAAUGCAGGUUCGAAUCCUGCCCUCGGCG